AGUCGAGCGGUAGCACGGAGAAACUUGUUUCUUGGGUGACGAGCGGCGGACGGGUGAGUAACGCGUAGGAAUCUACCUAGUAGAGGGGGACAACAUGUGGAAACGCAUGCUAAUACCGCAUACGCCCUAAGGGGGAAAGGAGGGGACUUUUCGGAGCCUUCCGCUAUUAGAUGAGCCUGCGUAAGAUUAGCUAGUUGGUAGGGUAAAGGCCUACCAAGGCGACGAUCUUUAACUGGUCUGAGAGGAUGACCAGUCACACUGGGACUGAGACACGGCCCAGACUCCUACGGGAGGCAGCAGUGGGGAAUAUUGGACAAUGGGCGCAAGCCUGAUCCAGCCAUGCCGCGUGUGUGAAGAAGGCCUUAGGGUUGUAAAGCACUUUCAGGGGUGAGGAAGGGUAGCUAGUUAAUACCUAGUUAUCUUGACGUUAGCCCCAGAAGAAGCACCGGCUAACUCUGUGCCAGCAGCCGCGGUAAUACAGAGGGUGCAAGCGUUAAUCGGAAUUACUGGGCGUAAAGCGCGCGUAGGUGGUUUGUUAAGCCGGAUGUGAAAUCCCAGGGCUCAACCUUGGAAUGGCACCCGAUACUGGCAGGCUAGAGUAUGGUAGAGGGGUGUGGGAAUUUCCUGUGUAGCGGUGAAAUGCGUAGAUAUAGGAAGGAACAUCAGUGGCGAAAGCGACACCCUGCACUAAUACUGACACUGAUGUGCGAAAGCGUGGGGAGCAAACAGGA
rnacentral:rRNA from 1 species